AAUUCCCUACCAUGCGCGUGAUGAUAAGGUAAUUUUUGAGCCAACACCUUAUUGAGGGAAGUUCCGAUCGGAUCGUGCUGUGUAACCACGCGAGUGGCCGACAAAGCGGUUCGUAGGGGCAUCCACGUGGACCACAAAGGUUCAUGAGUUCCCUUGUACACGGCAUAGCGUGGGGAAUUU
rnacentral:other from 1 species